rnacentral:rRNA from 1 species
GGCAGGCUUAACACAUGCAAGUCGAGGGGCAUCGGGAGGGAAGCUUGCUUUCCUUGCCGGCGACCGGCUUACGGGUGAGUAACACGUAUGCAACCUGCCCUCUUCAGGGGGACAACCUUCCGAAAGGGAGGCUAAUCCCGCGUAUAUCGGUUUCGGGCAUCCGAGAUCGAGGAAAGAUUCAUCGGAAGAGGAUGGGCAUGCGGCGCAUUAGCUAGACGGCGGGGUAACGGCCCACCGUGGCGACGAUGCGUAGGGGUUCUGAGAGGAAGGUCCCCCACACUGGUACUGAGACACGGACCAGACUCCUACGGGAGGCAGCAGUGAGGAAUAUUGGUCAAUGGGAGAGAUCCUGAACCAGCCAAGCCGCGUGAGGGAAGACGGCCCUAUGGGUUGUAAACCUCUUUUGUCGGAGAACAAAACCCGGGACGAGUCCCGGACUGCGUGUAUCCGAAGAAAAAGCAUCGGCUAACUCCGUGCCAGCAGCCGCGGUAAUACGGAGGAUGCGAGCGUUAUCCGGAUUUAUUGGGUUUAAAGGGUGCGUAGGCGGUCCGUUAAGUCAGCGGUAAAAUUGCGGGGCUCAACCCCGUCGAGCCGUUGAAACUGGCAGACUUGAGUUGGCGAGAAGUACGCGGAAUGCGCGGUGUAGCGGUGAAAUGCAUAGAUAUCGCGCAGAACUCCGAUUGCGAAGGCAGCGUACCGGCGCCAGACUGACGCUGAGGCACGAAAGCGUGGGGAUCGAACAGGAUUAGAUACCCUGGUAGUCCACGCAGUAAACGAUGAAUGCUGGUUGUCCGGGUCGAAUGAGAUCUGGGCGGCGAAGCGAAAGCGAUAAGCAUUCCACCUGGGGGAGUACGCCGGCAACGGUGAAACUCAAAGGAAUUGACGGGGGCCCGCACAAGCGGAGGAACAUGUGGUUUAAUUCGAUGAUACGCGAGGAACCUUACCCGGGCUCAAACGGGAGUGGAAUGGACCAGAGACGGUUCAGCCUACGGGCCGCUUCCGAGGUGCUGCAUGGUUGUCGUCAGCUCGUGCCGUGAGGUGUCGGCUUAAGUGCCAUAACGAGCGCAACCCCCGCCGGCAGUUGCUAACGGGCAAUGCCGAGGACUCUGCCGGGACUGCCGCCGCAAGGCGAGAGGAAGGCGGGGAUGACGUCAAAUCAGCACGGCCCUUACGUCCGGGGCGACACACGUGUUACAAUGGCGUAAACAAAGGGAGGCAAAGCGGUGACGCCAAGCAAAUCCCAAAAAUAACGUCCCAGUUCGGAUUGCAGCCUGCAACUCGGCUGCAUGAAGCUGGAAUCGCUAGUAAUCGCGGAUCAGAAUGUCGCGGUGAAUACGUUCCCGGGUCUUGUACAAAGCGCCCGUCAAG